rnacentral:rRNA from 1 species
UACGAAGGGGGCUAGCGUUGCUCGGAAUCACUGGGCGUAGAGGGUGCGUAGGCGGGUCGUUAAGUCAGGGGUGAAAUCCCAGAGCUCAACUCUGGAACUGCCUUUGAUACUGGCGACCUAGAGUUCGGAAGAGGUUAGUGGAAUUCCCAGUGUAGAGGUGAAAUUCGUAGAUAUUGGGAAGAACACCAGUGGCGAAGGCGGCUAACUGGUCCGAUACUGACGCUGAGGUGCGAAAGCGUGGGGAGCAAACAGG